AUUGAACGCUGGCGGCAUGCUUUACACAUGCAAGUCGAACGGUAACAGGCCGCAAGGUGCUGACGAGUGGCGAACGGGUGAGUAAUGCAUCGGAACGUGCCCAGUCGUGGGGGAUAACUACUCGAAAGAGUAGCUAAUACCGCAUACGAUCUAUGGAUGAAAGCGGGGGACCGUAAGGCCUCGCGCGAUUGGAGCGGCCGAUGUCAGAUUAGGUAGUUGGUGGGGUAAAGGCUCACCAAGCCAACGAUCUGUAGCUGGUCUGAGAGGACGACCAGCCACACUGGGACUGAGACACGGCCCAGACUCCUACGGGAGGCAGCAGUGGGGAAUUUUGGACAAUGGGCGCAAGCCUGAUCCAGCAAUGCCGCGUGCAGGAAGAAGGCCUUCGGGUUGUAAACUGCUUUUGUACGGAACGAAACGGCUCUGGUUAAUACCCGGGGCUAAUGACGGCACCGUAAGAAUAAGCACCGGCUAACUACGUG
rnacentral:rRNA from 1 species